GAAGAUGCUACUUGACAAGCUCAAGGAUUACAAAGGAGAGCAUUUGGAAGUGGUAAAGGAAGCUUCUGCCUUUGCUGGGGAGGCAGUAAAAAACAACCAUGACCUCAUUCUUCCUCCAUAUCCAAGUCGCUCCCCAUAUCCUCUUCACCUAGACAAUGACCAUUUAUCACCAUUCGUGUCUACUCGCAAAUCUGCCCGUAAUGGGGUAACCUUGAGCUACAUGACAAAUGAUGCCAAAAGGGAGUCAAGUGAGUCAUUAAGUACCAGCAAAGAAGUGAGCACGAAAAACACAAGGAAUAGAUUUGGUUCACUCAUAACUGCAGCAGCCAAGGCAGUGUUUACCAUUGUUGGUGUUGUGUCUAUAUUGAGCAUGUCUGGUUUUGGGCCACGGAUUGUAGCAAAGAAAGCUUCUCGUUUGAAGAAUUCCAGUGCAUACAAACAAGGAUCGACUGAAGAAGAGAGACCGAGAACUCAAUGCCCGCCGGGAAAAA
rnacentral:lncRNA from 1 species